GCCGGCUUAGCUCAGCUGGUAGAGCAACCGCCUUGUAAGCGGUAGGUCGCCCGUUCGAGUCGGGCAGCCGGCACCA
rnacentral:tRNA from 3 species